UAACGCGAUAAGUUGACCGCCUGGGGAGUACGGUCGCAAGAUUAAAACUCAAAGGAAUUGACGGGGACCCGCACAAGCGGUGGAUUAUGUGGAUUAAUUCGAUGCAACGCGAAAAACCUUACCUACCCUUGACAUGUCAGGAAGAUUGCAGAGAUGUGAUUGUGCCCGAAAGGGAACCUGAACACAGGUGCUGCAUGGCUGUCGUCAGCUCGUGUCGUGAGAUGUUGGGUUAAGUCCCGCAACGAGCGCAACCCUUGUCAUUAAUUGCCAUCAUUCAGUUGGGCACUUUAAUGAGACUGCCGGUGAUAAACCGGAGGAAGGUGGGGAUGACGUCAAGUCCUCAUGGCCCUUAUGGGUAGGGCUUCACACGUAAUACAAUGGUCGGUACAGAGGGUUGCCAACCCGCGAGGGGGAGCCAAUCUCAGAAAGCCGAUCGUAGUCCGGAUUGGAGUCUGCAACUCGACUCCAUGAAGUCGGAAUCGUUAGUAAUCGCGGAUCAGCAUAUCGCGGUGAAUACGUUCCCGGGUCUUGUACACACCGCCCGUCACACCAUGGGAGUGGAAUCUGGCAGAAGUAGGUAGCCUAACCGCAAGGAGGGCGCUUACCACGCUGGGUUUCAUGACUGGGGUGAAGUCGUAACAAGGUAACCGUA
rnacentral:rRNA from 1 species